CUAGUGGUUAGACUACAUGCCAAUCCAGAUACUAGUGCAUGUUUCAGUUUCUCAAAAGACUGCAACCACUCAUUAGUAAACUGAAAUAGACUACAAUUAACAAAGCUUUUCAGAAGCUUUCACGUGAAAUCCCAACCCAACUCAUGCUCAUCCUUCUUCUACAAUCUUCCAAAUGAAAGCUCAUAAACCCCCUCCCUUAUCUUCUCAGUGUUCUACCUUCAUCUCUUCCAUAACUUUCACCCUUUUGCUCUUCAUGGAAUCGGACCACCGCAGACCCACCACCGAAGCCCAGCCUUCUCUCCCUUUCCUGUGACGCCAACUGCCUCCCUUCCAGCAGCCGGCCUUGUGCCGCCAACAGAAGCAAGCAACGACUCUUUCUCCUUCCUCUUCCUUUAAUGGUGAUUGAGGGUCUAUCUCUUACAGGGGGUAGAUCCACUUUCAGGUUGCCAUCUUUAGUGCAGAUGGAUGUGCUGCUCAUUUAUGUGUCAUGUGUUGCGAUAGCGAGGACAUCGUUUUCGGAAGGUUAACUUAUAAUGAUAUUUUGAAAAAUCAUGUCUUUUAAGAAAAAUAGAUAUUUUAUAAUGUAUUAAUUUAGUUUAUAACUGGGUUGUAAGUAAUUAUAUUACAGUUAUGUAAAGUUUUUUUAAAUACUCUGAUAUUGGUUGCUGUGGCUAUCGAGCCACAGGUCGGAUUCAGCCCAGACUUCUAUAAGUCUUCCGCUGUGCAUUGUAGACAAUAUUAUUAUAUUGUUUACACUGGUUUGGGCUGUUUCAAUUGGUAUCAGAGCCUGGUUGUUUCUGGAGUACUCGAAUCCUCAUAUUCGAGUACAAAACUUUUGAAGAAAAAAAAUAAUAAAAAAAAAUGAAUUUCGAAAAUUCGAGAGAGCGCGGUAGUUGUGUCUUAGGGUGUAACCUCUUAGAAUAAUAUGUUAUUAAUGUGACUAUGUGUUAUAUGUGUGAUGUGUAGCGUUUUUAUAGGGUAAGGAAAUCCUGAAGUUUUCUUACGUGUUGUGAAUCCUCAUUUCGAGUCUUGUCGAGGGUCAAGAAUUAAGUUCGAAUUAUGAAUUUGGAACUUUGAAGUUUGGUGAAAGGAGUUUUAAAGGAUAUUAAAGUUAAUUUGGGAAUUUUUCAUUUGAAUCUUGUUUGAUGGAUUUACUUGAUUUUAUGUGAAAUAUUGUGUGAUUGUUUACAUGUCAUGUAUAAAAAAAAAUAGUUGUUUUUUUUAAAAGAUCUCAAAAUUUUCUACUUGAAAUAUAUAUAUAUACUCGAGUCAAGUAUUCUUGAAAUUGUUUUCCAAAAGAUAUUAUAUAUACUCGGAUAACUGGCAAAAAGGAGUUGAGGACCAAACUUAUCGAGAAUUGCGAUGAUGUUGUGCAAGAAGGAUUCGAUGCAAAGAGUUUAAAAGAAAAAUUUUGGGAAUAUUGAAAGUUAUGCGUUAAUUGAGUGUUAAGAUUGAAAAUCUAUAAAGGAAUAAAGAAUGUAGAUCAAGUAUUUGUGACAUGUUCAAUUAUGGGAUGAGAAAUUUUAAUUAAGGAAAGUUAUUCAAAAGGAAACAAAGGAUAAUGCAAUUAAUAGUAACUUAAAGUUAUGUUGUAGUAAGUUUGAUUGAAUGGCCUAUACGUGUUGAGGAUAAUGUAAAAUCAUGAUUGAGAAAGCUUUCAACGGUUUUUAAUGAAUGAAUGAUAACUUUGGGAUUCUAUAAAGGUUUUAUUGAUGGUAAAAUGUGAAUUAAGAAAAAGGGAUCAAUUGGAAGUUUAAAGAAUACUUCAAUUGUGAGAAGUUUGACUUUGUAAGUGAGGAAAUGUUUGGUUAUUAAAGGUUAAAAAAAAAUUGGGAUUGUAUGAAACUAUUAAUGGUUUAAAACAAAAUAUGAAUUUAAAUGUUUAAAGGUUAUUGAAGUUAUUUCGGAUGGAUUUCUUAUGGAAUUUGAAGUUUUAAGCGUUAAAUGAAGAGUAUGGUUAUAAAUGUUAUAAUUCGAAGUAAGUUGACAAUGAUCGAGUUUUGAGUUAUUUAAAGUUUAUAGAAAAAUGAUUGUGGAUAUCUUUAAUGAAUAUGAGAUUCAAUAAAUGACUUAAGGUAUUCAUCUCAAAGUAUCUCGGGAGUUAUAAGAGUUUUAAUAAGAAAUUUAAUUGUAAUUGGGAAACAACAAGUAAGUUGAUGAUUCAAUAUCUCAAAGGUUGAAAUGACAAAAUAUGUAAUUAAAGGUAUAAAAGAUUUUGAAGUAACGUGGUUGAUUUAAAGUACAUGUGAACGAUUACGUAAAGUAACUCGAGGUUGAAGUUUCAAAUUUAAAGGUUUGAAGUAAUUCAAUUGAGGUUAGUUGUGUUACCAAUAUGUAAUUCAUCUCAUAUGAUCGAAAAUGUGUAGGUAUAGUAUGUCUUGAAUCAAAGCUGGGGAGUAACUAAAGUUUAUUUGGUUCUCAUUUCACGAAAUUUGAGUUAUACGUUAUGACUAAGGAUGAUCGGAAGUGUAUGUAUAAUUUCGGGGACGAAAUUAUUUUAAGUUGGGGAGAAUGAAAUAGACUACAUUUAACAAAGCUUUUCAGAAGCUUUCACGUGAAAUCCCAACCCAACUCAUGCUCAUCCUUCUUCUACAAUCUUCCAAAUGAAAGCUCAUAAACCCCCUCCCUUAUCUUCUCAGUGUUCUACCUUCAUCUCUUCCAUAACUUUCACCCUUUCGCUCUUCAUGGAAUCGGACCACCGCAGACCCACCACCGAAGCCCAGCCUUCUCUCCCUUUCCUGUGACGCCAACUGCCUCCCUUCCAGCAGCCGGCCUUGUGCCGCCAACAGAAGCAAGCAACGACUCUUUCUCCUUCCUCUUCCUUUAAUGGUGAUUGAGGGUCUAUCUCUUACAGGGGGUAGAUCCACUUUCAGGUUGCCAUCUUUAGUGCAGAUGGAUGUGCUGCUCAUUUAUGUGUCAUGUGUUGCGAUAGCGAGGACAUCGUUUUCGGAAGGUUAACUUAUAAUGAUAUUUUGAAAAAUCAUGUCUUUUAAGAAAAAUAGAUAUUUUAUAAUGUAUUAAUUUAGUUUAUAACUGGGUUGUAAGUAAUUAUAUUACAGUUAUGUAAAGUUUUUUUUUAAAUACUCUGAUAUUGGUUGCUGUGGCUAUCGAGCCACAGGUCGGAUUCAGCCCAGACUUCUAUAAGUCUUCCACUGUGCAUUGUAGACAAUAUUAUUAUAUUGUUUACGCUGGUUUGGGCUGUUUCAUAAACACAAAUGGUAUACAUAAAUUGUUACUAUAAAGACGAUCUCUAGGAGAAACCAAGCUAUUGGGUCAGAAAAUUAUAGAAAAAAGACUGCUCCUAAAAUUAAAAUUCAUGCACACACAUUUUUUAAAUUCCCCCUUCUUUGAUCUUCCAUAUUUUGUUUCAUCAAAUUCAUUCCUUCCAACUUUCUUUCAUCUCAUAUUUCUCAAAAAUUAUACAAACAUUCUCUAAUUUGGUUUUUUCUCAUCAUCUUAAGUAGCAUGUAGUGUCUACAUUUAUAUCAUUUAUAUGUUUUCUUUUUUGGUGUUUUUAUGUUGAUAUUUGGAAUUUGUUAGGGUUUAUUUACUUAUUUUUUCAUUUUGAUCAUAUUUUCAAAUAUGAAACCUUCCUUUAGCACUCAUUAUUCUUUCGAGGAUGAUGCACUACUUUCAAUUGUUCUAUAAAAAUCAAAAGAUGUUCGUCACAUUGUUUCUAAGAGAAAGGAUGAUUGUAAUGAGAUUGUUGAAGCAUCCGAUGCGGAACUUAAGGCUAAGAGGCAAAAUGUUUUCAUUUUGAUCAUGUUUUCACAUAUAGAACCUUCCUUUAGUACUUAUGAUUCUUUCGAGGACGACGCACCACUUAUAAUUGUUCUAGAAAAAUUGAAAGAUGUUCGUCACAUUGUUUCAAAGAGAAAGGAUGAUUGUAAUGAGAUUGUUGAAGCAUCCGAUGCAAAACCUAAGACUAAGAGGCAAAAUGUUGCAUUUAUGAUGCAAAACCUAUUGAUUAAUCAUGAAUAAUCCCAACUUUAAGGGGUAUUUGCCUAGAGUAAACUUGGGUAACCCGAUGACCUGCUAUAAUAGGUAUUUCACCAAAAAAAUAAAUGAGUUGGUUUUGAAGUACGUGUUGUUAAGAGUGUUAAGCUCUAAUUUUUCUUUUUUUGUUUAAACAUUUUGGAUCGGGCCUUAGAGAACGUUGAUAAAGAGAUGGUCUCCUAAGACACCAGUUAAAUGGUAUAUCAUUUGCUAAAAGUGGUGUGAGAGGUCGAGCACUCUUAGAUUAAUCGGGUAUUAACCUUCUAUAGAUUCCAACAUUCCUAAGAAAACUACAAAUCCCAUUCACAUUCAUUUAAGGGGAUAGCUUCUUAAUAAUCUCUACCUUAGCCUUGUCGACCUCAACACCACGAUUAGAUCCAAAUGAUCAAGAACUAUACCUUGUUGUACCAUAAAAUAGCUCUUUACCCAGUUGAAGACUAAGUUGAGUUCUUUGCAUCAACUUCUCUCUAGUUUAACUAAGGUAUCAUCGGAGGAGUUAUUGUACACGGAAAAUUAUUCCAUGAUUACCUUCAUGCUAUAUUCUAUGAAAUCAAAGAAAAUGGAUAUUAUGCACCGUUUGCAGGCGGAUGGGGAUUACAUAGCCGAAAUGGCAUUCUGCGAUAAGCAAAUAUGCCAUAGGUGCGAUAAGAAAAUAUCCCAUAGAGGGUAGUAAAGGUGGUCUUCACUCUGUCAUCUAGAUCAACAUGAAUCUAGAAGAAACCCGGGUAUUUAUCUAGGUAAUAGUAACCAGAGUAAACUCAGAGAAAAUGGAUAUCAUACAACUUUAGAAGGUGGUUAGGGCAUUAAAAGCGCAAAUGGAAUUCUUUAAUAAUUAAAUGUACCAUAGGGAAAAGUAAAGAUAGCCUUCUCUUUAUCAUCUAGAUGGACACAAAUCUUGAUGAAAUCAGAGUAUCCAUCCAAAUAACAGAAACAAGAGUAAUUUUUCAACCUUUCACGCAUUUGAUCAAUGAAGAAAAGGGGUAUUCGUUUUUUUGGGGUGGCUUUGUUUAAUUUUCUGUAGUCAAGACACAUAUGCCGCCAUAUGACUGUCCUAGUGCGGAUUAAUUCAUUUCUAUCUUUUUUAAUAACAAUGAUACCUUCCUUCCAACGUACACUGGGGAACCCCUUUACUAUCAGAGAUAGGGUAGAUGAUCCUAAUGCUUAAUAACUUUAAGACUUCCUCUUUUUACUACUUCUUUUAUAGUGGUAUUGAGUCUCUUUUGUCCCUCUAUGGCAGGAGUACCAUCAGGUUCAAGAUUUAUUAUGUGAGUGCAUAUAAAAGGACUAAUACUCUUAAUAUCAUCAAUGGUGUACCAGACGACUUUUCUGUGUGUGCUGAUAAUCUUGACCAGACGGUCUAGUUUGUCACCAUCAAGUUCACUACUAAUAAUAAUGGGCUAUUUAGAGUUAUCCCCUAAAAAAGCUUUUUUCGAAUGAGAUUGAAGGGGUUUUGACUUAAUAUGAUGAGCUAUUGACAUAUCCUUGUUCACCUUCUCAACAUGUAUGAUCUUAUUCAAAAGCUCAAAAUCAUUGCUAGAUGGUUUAACUCUAUAUUUAACUCUAUAGGUAUUUUACCAUCUCAUGACCUCUUUGUUGUCACUCUUAGUGCCCUUAAGAAAGGACCUUAAGGCAUCAACUUUAUUUGUGCAGUUGGGUUCAAUGGGAAAAUCAUUACUGUAAUCAAUCCGGUACAUGGAUUCAACGUUAACCAGAGCAUUUAAAACAUCCUGGAUAGCAAACUCAACUUUAUCCUCCUCCACACUCAUAAUCAAUUAACCUUAGUAAUAUCAAUUAAGGUACUAGUUAUGGCUAGGCAAGUGUUAUGAAUGGUGUGACUUGAGUGCACAUUUGAUGGGUUCAUUCAUGUGGUGACUCUUGGGAUGGAAUCCCAUAAGUAUGUCAUGAAUGGGUGUAUUAAGUUUUGUCUUAAUAUUUGUGGUUUAUGAUGAUGAUUAAAGUAUGAAUUAAUGAGUUAAUCAUGGGAGUUAUGGGACUUAAUGAAGAAGUGCAAAGGUUUAAUUCAAGAUGCUCUACUAUGCAAAGUCGAGCAAUAAUGUCAGAAGCCUUCUGAAGUGCAGCUCGACCAGCUCGCUUGACCGAGCGAGCUCAGAAUGGGUCGAGCGAGCAUACAGAAUGCAACCAGAAACUUUCUGUAGUCCGCUCGACCAAACCGCUCGACCGAGCAAGCCCCUGUGUUGGUCGAGCGAAGUCUCUAAUACUCCUAGGAUGCUGUUAUUGACUCUUCAAGUACUUGGUGAUGUUUCAUUAUCAUUUAUUUAUAGUUUUUAAUGUACUUAAUGUUACUUAGUGAGAUCACUCCUAUAAAUAGAGAGCUCUCAUUCACACAUAAAGAAUCAUCCACAAAAUACAACCCAUGCCAAACACUAGCCUAUAUCUCUUCUCUAUUGCAAUUCUCCAUGUUUGAGAGUUCUUUGAACUCCUUUGAUAAUAUAAGAGAUACUACACACCGGAGGACGUAGCCUAAGUUGGGUGAACCUCGUUAAAUUUUUUUGUGUCGUUUUAUUGCAUUACUUUCUCCUAUAAACAUCGAUAUCAUUGGUAGCUUAAUUUGUUUGUCACAAAACCUCAUACAUUCAAUCUUGGCAAUAUUGGAGUUUGAAACACAUUGUUCGAACUCUAAUAUAGCAUCGUUUUCAGCAAGAUUUACCAAGAAUAAUAGGGGUCUUGAUAUCCUCAAGAAUGUCAAUGAUAGUAAAGUCACAAGAAACCAUGGACUUACCUAUUCUUAAAGUAAAAUCCAUCAACAUUCCUUAGGAUAACGACACUGUGAUCAUCAAAUUGUAGUCUCAUCUUAGUGGGCGUCAACUCGCUAACAUCCUCAACCUCUUUUACAUAGCGUGUGGAGUAUUGACAAUGGCACCUAGCUAGUUCACAUAAGGCUUUAUCUAUUAUAAGAUUCCUAGUGGUGACUACGAUGCUAAAGCUUUCAAGGUCCUUUAGUUUGGGAGUUAACUUUCUUAGCAUAACUACAUUCACAUUUCCCCUCCUUAGAAUCCUGGAUAACAUCAUCAAGCUUCUUAUUAUUUGACAACAAAAUUUUAAGAAACUUAAGAAAUGUAGAUAUCUCAGAAAGAGCAUCCAAAAAAUGAAAGUUCUAAGGAGACAUCCUUCAAUAGACUUUAGUACUAUAAUAUAUUGGAUUUUCAGAAGAUAUAUGCUUUAAGGGAGGAUUAGCUAGCUGUUUACCACUUUGUGUAGAUAUCAGCAUUGAUUAGGCUCUUUACUAUAAGGUUUAGUCUGGUAAUUAAGGAAUUUAAUUUUGAGUUGUAGUAUUUUGUUAUUGAGCUAUGUGGUUAAUCUGAGUCUCCAACCUCUUCAUAUGAAUACUUUAAGCUUGAAGCAUGUUCCUUAUCACCGAAAGUUGUGCAUCUUAAUUGGGAGGUCAUUAAUUUUGUUAUGGAUGGAACUGUGGAGAUCAUAGGUUGUAUUACUUUGGACGAGGGUGGAAUCCUGGUAGGUUUUGUUGUUGGAAUGGGGUGAUGGAUGCUGGAGGGUUGAUGCUUACGUAUUCAUGGAGUUUCGCUGAUUUUUGUAUGAGAGGUUUGUUUGGUUUUUGAAAUCUUGGUUUAUAACUAUUGUCAAAUGGGUCAUUUUGCCUGUUUUAUAGCGCGUUUGCCUAGGAAAAUUACCUGAUCUAUUCCCAAAAACUCUUUAAGUAUCAUAGUUAGUAAUAAUAUUCAUGGAAGUAUAUAGAAGAUGAGUUACAGGAUUUACUUUAGUCAUUAGCUCAGUGAGGAUGGAUAGGUUAGCUGUUGUGUAAGAGUCUUUAUAAUUUCAUUUUCACAUGAGCUCCACUAUUAUAGUUGUGGGCUCCUUUCAUUACCCCAUGAGAUUCUGUUCGUUCUGAGCCAUUGUUUUGAUUAGCUUUAGAGAUCAUUUAGUAACUUUGACUCCAUUUCUCCACCACUUACUGCAUUGAUGGAAGACUUGUGCUCAUCGAACAGAUCACCAUAAAAGGACUAAACUAGUAACCAUUUAUGAAUUUGAUGGUGAGGAUAUUUCAUUUGCAGUUCUUUAAACCUCUUCUAUAUGUCAAAAAAUAAAUGAAAUGGAUAUUUAUUAAAGGUUUAUAGCUAGAUCCUAAUUUGGAAAUUCUUCCUUGGAGGGUAAAAUUUUGCCAAGAAUCAAUUAACUAACUACUCCUAGGUUCUGUAGAUACUUGUUGGCUCAACUUUUACUUAUUCCUUGGCUUUAUACUUAAAACGAAAAGGGAAAACCUUAUCUGAAAGUUGAUAGGAGGUCGAAUAAUCUCUAGAGGGGGGGUGAAUUGAGAGUAUGCACGUUUAAAAUUUUUGUCUGGAAGGUUGUCUUAAGAGAUUGAGUGGCCUUUCAAAAACUGUUUUCUGGGACAAUUUUUAGGUUGAAUAAUAAAACUAUAACAUAUGUGCGGAAAAUAAACUUAAACAAUAACACACGAUAUGUUAACGAGGUUCGGUUCUAAACAAUCUACUCCCUGCCUAUGGGUUCCCUUUCAACCCGUAGGAUUUUAACGCCUUUUUUGAAGACUUUAAGAUAAACUAGAAGAUCUCACUAUCUUCUCUCACCACAUUCUUCCCUUGAAGAAACAUCUUACAAGUCCCUUUAAUAAAAGCAUAUCCCAAAUCUUACAAUAGAGAUUACAAGUUGAACACUUUGAAAAGCAUUCUAAGUUAGGCGUAUUAAACUAUGAAAUAAUC